UUUCCGUAGGUGAACCUGCGGAAGGAUCAUUCACAAUAUGUGUUUCAUGGUACUUUUUAAACAACGUUUAUCUAACUCCGGUGCAACGUUAUGAGACCCUCUAUCGCUAUCUUUUAGGUUACGCACUGGGGAACCUCUACAACUUACCAACAUCACCCUUAACUUAUUUGUCUGCACAUUUGUUACCACGAAUUAACUUAAUUCAAAAAUACAACUGUCAACAACGGAUCUCUUGUCUCUCGCGACCAUGAAAAACGCAGCAGAUCGAAGGAGCACCCC
rnacentral:misc_RNA from 1 species